rnacentral:rRNA from 1 species
GACGAACGCUGGCGGCGUGCUUAACACAUGCAAGUCGAACGGUGAAGCGCCUUCCUUUUUGGUGGGUGUGGAUGAGUGGCGAACGGGUGAGUAACACGUGAGUAACCUGCCCCCUUCUUCUGGAUAACCGCAUGAAAGUGUGGCUAAUACGGGAUAUUCUGGGUCUGUCGCAUGAUGGGUCUGGGAAAGAUAUUGUUUCGGUGGGGGAUGGGCUCGCGGCCUAUCAGCUUGUUGGUGGGGGGAUGGCCUACCAAGGCGGUGAGGGGUAGCCGGCCUGAGAGGGUGGACGGUCACACUGGGACUGAGACACGGCCCAGACUCCUACGGGAGGCAGCAGUGGGGAAUAUUGCACAAUGGGCGCAAGCCUGAUGCAGCGACGCCGCGUGAGGGAUGGAGGCCUUCGGGUUGUGAACCUCUUUCGCCAGUGAAGCAGGCCUGCCUCGUUUGUGGGUGGGUUGACGGUAGCUGGAUAAGAAGCGCCGGCUAACUACGUG